rnacentral:rRNA from 1 species
UACGAAGGGGGCUAGCGUUGCUCGGAAUCACUGGGCGUAAAGCGCACGUAGGCGGAUUGUUAAGUCAGGGGUGAAAUCCUGGAGCUCAACUCCAGAACUGCCUUUGAUACUGGCGAUCUUGAGUACGGGAGAGGUGAGUGGAACUGCGAGUGUAGAGGUGAAAUUCGUAGAUAUUCGCAAGAACACCAGUGGCGAAGGCGGCUCACUGGCCCGGUACUGACGCUGAGGUGCGAAAGCGUGGGGAGCAAACAGG